GCAGUAGCCGCGGUAAUACGAGGGGGGCAAGCGUUGUUCGGAAUUAUUGGGCGUAAAGGGCGCGUAGGCGGUUUGACAAGUCUUGUGUGAAAUCUCUGGGCUCAACCCAGAGUCUGCACGGGAAACUGUCGGGCUAGAGGAUGGGAGAGGUGAGUGGAAUUUCCGGUGUAGCGGUGAAAUGCGUAGAUAUCGGAAGGAACACCUGUGGCGAAAGCGGCUCACUGGACCAUUACUGACGCUGAGGCGCGAAAGCUAGGGGAGCAAACAGGAUUAGAUACCCCCGUAGUCCCUGUCUCUUAUA
rnacentral:rRNA from 1 species